UUAGAUGAAAGAUGGUUCUGCUAUCGCUUUUAGAUGGACCCGCGGCGUAUUAACUAGUUGGUGGGGUAACGGCCUACCAAGGUGAUGAUACGUAGCCGAACUGAGAGGUUGAUCGGCCACAUUGGGACUGAGACACGGCCCAAACUCCUACGGGAGGCAGCAGUAGGGAAUCUUCCACAAUGGACGCAAGUCUGAUGGAGCAACGCCGCGUGAGUGAAGAAGGUCUUCGGAUCGUAAAACUCUGUUGUUAGAGAAGAACACGAGUGAGAGUAACUGUUCAUUCGAUGACGGUAUCUAACCAGCAAGUCACGGCUAACUACGUGCCAGCAGCCGCGGUAAUACGUAGGUGGCAAGCGUUGUCCGGAUUUAUUGGGCGUAAAGGGAACGCAGGCGGUCUUUUAAGUCUGAUGUGAAAGCCUUCGGCUUAACCGGAGUAGUGCAUUGGAAACUGGAAGACUUGAGUGCAGAAGAGGAGAG
rnacentral:rRNA from 1 species